GGGCGCGUAGCUCAGCCGGUUAGAGUACCUGCUUGACAUGUAGGGGGUCAGAGGUUCGAGUCCUCUCGCGCCCA
rnacentral:tRNA from 1 species